UGGGGAAUUUUGGACAAUGGGGGAAACCCUGAUCCAGCAAUGCCGCGUGAGUGAAGAAGGCCUUCGGGUUGUAAAGCUCUUUUGUCAGGGAAGAAACACCGGCUCUAACACAGUCCGGGAAUGACGGUACCUGAAGAAUAAGCACCGGCUAACUACGUGCCAGCAGCCGCGGUAAUACGUAGGGUGCGAGCGUUAAUCGGAAUUAUUGGGCGUAAAGCGCGCGCAGGUGGGAUAUUAAGGCUGGGGUUA
rnacentral:rRNA from 1 species